rnacentral:tRNA from 1 species
UGUGGAUGUGAUGGAAUUGGUAGACAUAUUAGAUUUAGGAUCUAAUGAAAACGUUUUUCGUAGGGGUUCAAGUCCCUUUAUCCAUAA